GAUGAACGCUGGCGGCGUGCCUAAUACAUGCAAGUCGAGCGAACAGACGAGGAGCUUGCUCCUCUGACGUUAGCGGCGGACGGGUGAGUAACACGUGGAUAACCUACCUAUAAGACUGGGAUAACUUCGGGAAACCGGAUCUAAUAUCGGAUAAUAUAUUGAACCGCAUGGUUCAAUAGUGAAAGACGGUUUUGCUGUCACUUAUAGAUGGAUCCGCGCCGCAUUAGCUAGUUGGUAAGGUAACGGCUUACCAAGGCAACGAUGCGUAGCCGACCUGAGAGGGUGAUCGGCCACACUGGAACUGAGACACGGUCCAGACUCCUACGGGAGGCAGCAGUAGGGAAUCUUCCGCAAUGGGCGAAAGCCUGACGGAGCAACGCCGCGUGAGUGAUGAAGGUCUUCGGAUCGUAAAACUCUGUUAUUAGGGAAGAACAAAUGUGUAAGUAACUAUGCACGUCUUGACGGUACCUAAUCAGAAAGCCACGGCUAACUACGUG
rnacentral:rRNA from 1 species